GCCUACACGGUGGAGCGUGCCUGUAGUCCCAGCUACUCGGGAGGCUGAGGUGGGAGGAUCGUUUGAGCCGGGAGUUGUGGGCUGUAGUGUGCUAUGCCAAUUGGGUGUCUGCACUAAGUUUGGCAUUAAUAUGGUGACCUCCUGGGAGCAGGGGACCACCAGGUUGCCUAAAAACGGGUGAACCGGCCUAGGUCAGAAACGGAGCAGGUCAAAACUCCCGUGCUGAUCAGUAGUAGGAUGGUGCCUGUGAAUAGCCACUGCACUCCAGUCUGAGCAACAUAGAGAGACUUCGUCUCAU
ensembl:misc_RNA Metazoa_SRP Metazoan signal recognition particle RNA